rnacentral:lncRNA from 1 species
GGAAAGUAUACCUGGGUGGCUGGAGAUCAAGAUACAAGGGUCGGAUAGGAAGGAACUUGUGAUCAGACCCUUAAAUUUAGAGGAGUAGAUGUGCUAGGGGUCCUCAGACUUAACACAGAGAAGUCCCCGAGUUUUACACAUAUACCCUCGGUUCAAGGAAAAAGAUGCAGCCGAGCCCUCAAGCGAGGCGGAGAAAGGGUCGGCGAAACAGACAGGGUCGGGCGAGACGGAACAGGGGUCGGGCGGAUAGACAGGGGUCGGACGAACAGAAGAGGUCGGAUGAAACGGGAAAAGGGUCGGCAGCUUACCUUCGGUUCACAGGUGAAGCUUGGGGUCGGAAGAGAGCAGACUUGGGCGGAGGAUGGAAACACGAAGACUGGGGCAGGCGAUGCCCGACGGUGCUUCUUGUGGACAACAAGCAAGCUUUAGCACAGCGCGGAGGAGCAAGCGGUUGGGUGGAUUGGAAGGGGUGGCCGGGGAGCGGAGAGGAGAGUUCCGCAGGGACUGAGGCGGUAGCGCUUUGAGCACGAACAGAGAGCAAGGCGGGAGGGCAGCGAUGGCGAAGGGGAACUCCGG